rnacentral:rRNA from 1 species
AUUGAACGCUGGCGGCAGGCCUAACACAUGCAAGUCGAGCGCGCGGCGGACGGGUGAGUAAAGUAUGGGGACUGCCCGAUAGAGGGGGAUAACAACUGGAAACGGUAGAUCAUACCGCAUACUAUCGGAUAACCCAUAUGGGAUGAGCUAGUAGGUGGGGUAAUGGCUCACCUAGGCGACGAUCCCUAGCUGGUCUGGGAGGAUGUUCAGCCACACUGGGACUGAGACACGGCCCAGACUCCCACGGAGGCAGCAGUGGGGAAUAUUGCACAAUGGGCGCAAGCCUGAUGCAGCCAUGCCGCGUGUAUGAAGAAGGCCCUAGGGUUGUAAAGUACUUUCAGUCGGGAGGCGUUACCGACAGAAGAAGCACCGGCUAACUCCGUGCCAGCAGCCGCGGUAAUAC